AUACGUAGGGUGCGAGCGUUGUCCGGAAUUACUGGGCGUAAAGAGCUCGUAGGUGGUUUGUCGCGUCGUCUGUGAAAUUCCGGGGCUUAACUCCGGGCGUGCAGGCGAUACGGGCAUAACUUGAGUACUGUAGGGGAGACUGGAAUUCCUGGUGUAGCGGUGAAAUGCGCAGAUAUCAGGAGGAACACCGGUGGCGAAGGCGGGUCUCUGGGCAGUAACGGACGCUGAGGAGCGAAAGCAUGGGUAGCGAACAGGAUUAGAUCCCCUGGUAGUCCAUGCCGUAAACGGUGGGCGCUAGGUGUAGGGGUCUUCCACGACUUCUGUGCCGUAGCUAACGCAUUAAGCGCCCCGCCUGGGGAGUACGGCCGCAAGGCUAAAACUCAAAGGAAUUGACGGGG
rnacentral:rRNA from 1 species